GAUGAACGCUAGCUACAGGCUUAACACAUGCAAGUCGAGGGACCGGCGCACGGGUGAGACACACGUAUCCAACCUGCCCUUUACUGGGGAAUAGCCUUACGCAAGAAUGCUUAAUACCUGACAUAAUGAAUGGGGAUGCGUUCCAUUAGGUUGUUGGUGAUGUAACGGCCCGCCAACACUUCGAUGGAUAGGGGUUCUGAGAGGCAGGUCCCCCACAUUGGAACUGAGACCCAGUCCAAACUCUGAGGGGAGGCAGCAGUGAGGUAUAUGUGUCAAUGAGCGGGAGCCUGAACCAGCCAAGUGUCGUGAAGAAUGAAGGCUUAUGGGUCGUAAACUUCUUUUAUAUAAGAUUAUGUAUUAUAUGAAUAAGGAUCGGCUAAAGACGUGCCAGCAGCCGCGGUAAUUC
rnacentral:rRNA from 1 species